rnacentral:rRNA from 1 species
ACGCUGGCGGCAUGCCUUACACAUGCAAGUCGAACGGCAGCACGGAGCUUGCUCUGGUGGCGAGUGGCGAACGGGUGAGUAAUAUAUCGGAACGUACCCUAGAGUGGGGGAUAACGUAGCGAAAGUUACGCUAAUACCGCAUACGAUCUAAGGAUGAAAGUGGGGGAUCGCAAGACCUCAUGCUCGUGGAGCGGCCGAUAUCUGAUUAGCUAGUUGGUAGGGUAAAAGCCUACCAAGGCAUCGAUCAGUAGCUGGUCUGAGAGGACGACCAGCCACACUGGAACUGAGACACGGUCCAGACUCCUACGGGAGGCAGCAGUGGGGAAUUUUGGACAAUGGGCGAAAGCCUGAUCCAGCAAUGCCGCGUGAGUGAAGAAGGCCUUCGGGUUGUAAAGCUCUUUUGUCAGGGAAGAAACGGUGAAAGCUAAUAUCUUUUGCUAAUGACGGUACCUGAAGAAUAAGCACCGGCUAACUACGUGCCAGCAGCCGCGGUAAUACGUAGGGUGCAAGCGUUAAUCGGAAUUACUGGGCGUAAAGCGUGCGCAUGGCGGUUUUGUAAGUCUGAUGUGAAAUCCCCGGGCUCAACCUGGGAAUUGCAUUGGAGACUGCAAGGCUAGAAUCUGGCAGAGGGGGGUAGAAUUCCACGUGUAGCAGUGAAAUGCGUAGAUAUGUGGAGGAACACCGAUGGCGAAGGCAGCCCCCUGGGUCAAGAUUGACGCUCAUGCACGAAAGCGUGGGGAGCAAAC